rnacentral:lncRNA from 1 species
GGCGGCCGGGCAGAGGAGCCCCUCACCUCCCGGACGGGGCGGCUGGCCGGGCGGGGGGCUGACCCCCCCACCUCCCUCCCGGACGGGGCGGCUGCCGGGCGGAGACGCUCCUCACUUCUCAGACGGGGCGGUUGCCAGGCAGAGGGUUUCCUCACUUCUCAGACGGGGCGGCCGGGCAGAGGCGCUCCUCACAUCCCAGACAGGGUUGCGGCCCAGCAGAGGUGCUCCUCACAUCCCAGACAGGGCGGCGGGGCAGAGGCGCUCCCCACAUCUCAGACGAUGGGCGGCGGGGAAGAGGCGCUCCUCGCUUCCUAGAUGGGAUGGCGGCGGGGAAGAGGCGCUUCUCACUUCCUAGAUGGGAUGGCGGCCGGGCAGAGACGCUCCUCACUUUCCAGACUGGGCAGCCAGGCAGAGAGGCUCCUCAUAUCCCAGACGAUGGGGGGCCAGGCAGAGACGCUCCUCACUUCCCAGACAGGGUGGCGG